GGGCUCAUGGUCUAGUGGUACGAUGCUCCCUUCGGGAUAGGUUCCCCCCCCGCGCGAUAGUUGCGCAUAAAUCCAUGGGAGAGGUCCGGAGUUCAAUCCUCCGUGAGCCCC